rnacentral:lncRNA from 1 species
AGCCCAAUAAUAGUGAGGCCACAAGUUUUUAAUAUAUCUUUAGUGGGUCUUCUUCGUUUAGGCUUCGUUGUAACCGUGCUUCGCUGUAUUUUUCUUUGUGCUGAAUUUUGCCUUAGUGUCUCUCCGGUUCGAUCUCUUGCCGUGCUUGUGUGAGUUUGGUGUGACCCGGUUGGAUUUAUGAUCGCUCCUUGUCUCUACUCAAAAGAUCUGAUCGAGAUCUGCUCAAUUUAAAGGUUUCUACCGAGACGUUUAAAAGUCGUGGUUCUUUCGACAUCGUCGUUUCCGGGAGAAGUGUGAGGAUCUAGACAUUUUUGUCUGAAUCCAUCUUGCUGGAUUAGAAGCUCAAGAGCGCAUAGGUUGUGAGGUAGUUUUUAUUCGCUAUAGGAGGAUUUGCUUGUCGUUAAUUGUUUUUCCGACUUGCAGUUUGGUUUAGGCUUUCCAGAAAUUAGAAAAUCAUGUGGAUGAAGUGUGGUUACUUACUUUCGGGCUUGAAUGUUUGGCCUUUGCUUUCGUACGUUGGUUUAGUUUUUGGUAUAUGCGUAUGCUUUUCCGGGAUAUUUUCAUUUUCUCGGCUUUACUUCCGGAGGUUUUAGUCCUGCCGGUUCAUGUAAUAUUUGCUGUAGAAUAUAAUAAAUUUUUGAGAUAAAAAAAAAAAAACUCAUUUUAUAUAUUAAAGA